CAGGAAUAACGGUCCUUCCGACAACUCUUUGCAAGGCUUUUUACAAUUUCUCCAGGAGCUGCAUCUCCCUUCACCUUUUCUCCUCCACUUCGCGGCUUCUUCAUGCUUUUGCUUCUCACCAUUUCUGGCCAAAACUACAACCAAGACUUCGCAGAGUCUGCGUGCUGCUGAAUCAGGGAGUCGAGUCCAUGCGAACUGCCAUCUGAUCCACUCUUAUCAAUGAAGCAGCAGAUCAUGGCGGAUGGCCCCAGGUGUAAGAGGCGAAAACAAGCCAACCCCCGGAGGAAAAACGCGCGUAUCCAGUGCCUUUCCCGUUGGGAAUUGGCCAGGAUUUAUCUGGACUGAGUGGAUUUUUGCUUCUUCCCUGGAUUCGUGGAAAAGAUGUCACUUCUGAGCUUGUGUCUUUGCUGAUAACACCAGAAACGGUGAUGCUUAUCGAAAUCAGACAGGAAUUCCUUAGAAACGCGGCAGGACCAAACUAAAAAUUAAAAACACAUAAAAAAUAAAUAAAUAAACCACCAAAACUAGAUGGCCAUCGAGGAA